UUGCGCCAGGCGACUGGGUCUGAGGAGGCAGGAGUUAUUCAUUCCCUUAAGCUUUCAGGCCGGGGGGAGAAUCUUUCAGGUGGUAGCUGCAAGAACUCUUAGUAUGUUGACCUCACCUCUGCCUUCCACAUACCACUACCAGUGAGGAAUUAGGAAUGCAUGAGAAGAGUGUCCAAGAAGAGUGUCCUCAUUCAUGCAAGGCUUAAGAGAGAAUGCAGGUCAACAUCACCAUGUCAAUCAGAGAAUACUUCUGUUGGGUUGAAUGACUCUCUGCCCCCAGGAAAGAGAUCUUCAUGUAAACAGAGUCCCUCUUAUUGGCUGAAGUGAAGAGUCAUUCUGAGGCAUCUCAAGAUGAAGGUUUCCUAUUUGUGAUUAUGAAAAAAAUGUCAAGAACAAGUCCCUUGGUGUUCUUAGACCAAAGUCAGAACAACAGACCUAUUUAUGUCUACAAGACGCUGUUGAGAGCAACUUGAUUCCUCAUUCAUUUUUGUUUCCCACAAAGUUUAUGCCUGAAAUGUGUGUAUAAACAACAUUUGAAAGAAGAAAUGGAAAUCUCCCAUCACUACAUCUCAGUAUGAAGAGAUGGAGGGAAGUUAAGUCCUAAAUGACCAGAUUUGGAUGUUACAUGACAGGUGGCUUCUGCACAGUAAACUGAGGCAGAACUGUAAGUGAUGAGUAGGUAUUCAAGAAUGAAAGAGAUCAUGACCAAGGACAGCCACAUCCGACCAUUCGUUGUGUUUUGUUGAUAUGCCCUGACAAUAGAUGACAUAACCAAAGAAAGAAACUGCUGGGGGAUACAGGCCUAUACCUCUGGAUAUAUUUUUCUAUUGUGAUUUUAGCUUCAGAGCAACUUCCCUCUGACAUAACGAAGACUCUUGAGUAUUGAAGAUGAAUAUUUAUUGGGGAAAAAUGCAAUGGGAAAUAAAGAAAUCAGAAGAUUGGAGAUGCUUGACAAACUACUGGAAAUUUUAUUCCCAAGUAAUUUAUUUCUUAUUUGUAUCAAUUUGAUAAAUAUUAUGUAAGUUACGAUUAUGUUGAAUUGCAAAUAACAAGAGCAGGUGUUUAUUUUUUUUUACAUAAUAACAAGUCCAGAGGUGUGUUUAGAUGACUGUGCAAUGGCUAGGCCACUGGUUCUGAUGUUCUUGGCUUCUUCCUUAUGGUCACAAGAUGGCUGCUUCAGUACCAGUUCUUAUAUCUGCAUUUAAGAGAUUAAAAAAGAAAAAGAAGAAGAAAAAGAAA
ensembl:lncRNA LINC01524 long intergenic non-protein coding RNA 1524